GCUCAGAUUGAACGCUGGCGGCAUGCCUUACACAUGCAAGUCGAACGGUAACAGCACUUCGGUGGCUGACGAGUGGCGGACGGGUGAGUAAUACAUCGGAACGUGCCCGAUCGUGGGGGAUAACUACUCGAAAGAGUGGCUAAUACCGCAUACGAUCUACGGAUGAAAGCGGGGGAUCGCAAGACCUCGCGCGGACGGAGCGGCCGAUGGCAGAUUAGGUAGUUGGUGGGAUAAAAGCUUACCAAGCCGANCGAUCUGUAGCUGGUCUGAGAGGACGACCAGCCACACUGGGACUGAGACACGGCCCAGACUCCUACGGGAGGCAGCAGUGGGGAAUUUUGGACAAUGGGGGAAACCCUGAUCCAGCCAUGCCGCGUGCAGGAUGAAGGCCUUCGGGUUGUAAACUGCUUUUGUACGGAACGAAAAGACUCUUUCUAAUACAGAGGGUCCAUGACGGUACCGUAAGAAUAAGCACCGGCUAACUACGUGCCA
rnacentral:rRNA from 1 species